AGUGUUAGAGGUUUCCUGCCCUUUAGUGCUGAAGUUAACGCAUUAAGCACUCCGCCUGGGGAGUACGGCCGCAAGGUUGAACUCAAAGGAAUUGACGGGCGGGGUGUACAAGGGGGGGAGCCUGAGUCUCAAUUCGAAGCAAGGCCACGAACCUUACCAUUUCUGGCCUUCUUUUGAAAACCUUAAGGUUAGGGUCCCUCCUUCGGAAUUUUUUUGACAGGUGGUGCAU
rnacentral:rRNA from 1 species